rnacentral:RNase_P_RNA from 2 species
UCAGUCGGCCGGGCGGCCGCUCCGAGCUUCGGCUUGGGGAGGAAAGUCCGGGCUCCAUGGAGAGACGGUGCCGGAUAACGUCCGGCGGGGGCGACCCCAGGGACAGUGCCACAGAGAGCAGACCGCCCCGGACCGCGAGGUCGCGGGGUCAGGGUGAAAGGGUGCGGUAAGAGCGCACCGCGGACGCGGCAACGCGGACGGCACGGCAAACCCCACCGGGAGCAAGACCGAAUAGGGGCGGCGCGCGUCUCCUCGCAGGAAGAGGCGCAGGCCCGCUCUCCAGGCCAGUCGCCCGGGUUGGUUGCUCGAGGCGGUCGGCAACGAUCGUCCCAGAGGAAUGGCCGCCACGUCCGGAUGCGCCUCGGCGCCUCCGGGCCCUACAGAACCCGGCUUAUAGGCCGGCUGAUCCG